GACGAACGCUGGCGGCGUGCCUAAUACAUGCAAGUUGAGCGCUGAAGGUUGGUACUUGUACCGACUGGAUGAGCAGCGAACGGGUGAGUAACGCGUGGGGAAUCUGCCUUUGAGCGGGGGACAACCUUUGGAAACGAAUGCUAAUACCGCAUAAAAACUUUAAACACAAGUUUUAAGUUUGAAAGAUGCAAUUGCAUCACUCAAAGAUGAUCCCGCGUUGUAUUAGCUAGUUGGUGAGGUAAAGGCUCACCAAGGCGAUGAUACAUAGCCGACCUGAGAGGGUGAUCGGCCACAUUGGGAGUGAGACACGGCCCAAACGCCUACGGGAGGCAGCAGUAGGGAAUCGUCGGCAAUGGACGAAAGUCUGACCGAGCAACGCCGCGUGAGUGAAGAAGGUUUUCGGACCGUAAAACUCUGUUGGUAGAGAAGAACGUUGGUGAGAGUGGAAAGCUCAUCAAGUGACGGUAACUACCCAGAAAGGGACGGCUAACUACGUG
rnacentral:rRNA from 1 species